AAGGAGGAAGAGGGGCGGGCACACUUGGAAACAACCAAUGGUGGCAGCGCCAGCCGCGAUCUUGUCCCGCGCCGAACAGGGUCAGCCCGAACGCAGGGCCUGAAGGGAGGGGUCCGGGGUCCGGAGCCCGGGAAAAGAAGACGGAAGUGGAGCGAGGACAAAAUGGCCGCGAAGUUUUCGGCGGACACAACAUCUUUGUUUGUAUGUGGUGCUGAGGAUCGAACCCGGGCCGAACGCAUGCCAGGCGAGUGCGCUACCGCUUGAGCCACAUCCCCAGCCCAGGCUUAAAAUUUUAAAAAGAGUAUACCUGCCCUCAUCACUGGGUUUUAGAGGCUCGAUCUUCAGGGAGGCAUCUCCUGCCAGGAAAUUGGAAGCAAAUGCCACUCGGCCCUUCUGUUCCUCAGUUAAGUUAUUGUAGACAUGACGACUGGAUUUUCGGCAGACACAACAUCUUUAUUUGUAUGUGGUGCUGAGGAUCGAACCCCGGGCGGCGUGGAUGCCAGGCCAGCGCGCUACCGCUUGAACCACAUCCCCAGCCCUGGAACUGGAUUUCUAUGGACUACUCUGAAACUGUGCACCCUCAAAUAAACCUCCUCCUCUAUUA